ACCAGGUGUGGUAACUCACACCUGUAAUCCCAGCAGCUCAGGAGGCUGAGGCAGGAGGAUUGUGGGUUCAAAGCCAGCCUCAGCAACUUAGCGAGGCCCUAACCAACUCAGACCCUGCCUCAA
rnacentral:sRNA from 1 species